AGGGCUUUUAACUCUUAGUGAGAAUGAAGCGAAGAGGAUCUGACUGGCGUGGCUCUGCACACCUGGAACUGGAUGAGACAAUAUCGCCCUGGUUGAGCUGGGUACUACUGUACAGCAGGCAAGCUGGUAGGAAAGAAGCUGUGAGUGGGAUUCAGCUGCAAAUUGAAGACUGCUGAUUAAAUCUACAUGCAGGCAAACCAGUUCUGGAGGGCUGAUUUUGCUGGGUUUGAUGUGAAGUCAGGACAGCUCUGGGAGCAAUCCUGCAGUUGAAAUCUUUGAAAUCUUUCACACUUUUGGGAUGCUGUUGCUACUAUUAGAAUUAGAGUUGUACCUAGGGAGACAGGGAGGCAAACGAUUCAUCGUUCUGUGGAAUUCUUCUAGAGACUUCUUGGGGGGAAGAUCUGGAAAGCAUGAUGAGUAGAGAUGCUACCUGUGAAUAGUUUCAGACUACUGAAAGGCCCGAAACUAUGAGGCAUUCGUCUUUGAAGGCAGUCUAUAAUGGAAGGUGAUGUCGAGGAGUCAUUAUCUGUCACUCAGGAAAACUUUGUGAUAGGCAGCCUGCCUGGCUUCUGACAUGGCACUUGGCUGGAGCAGAUGGAAAAAUAGAAACUUGCACAGAAAGCCUGAAAUACAUGGUCUGAUUUUUCAGAAUUGAAAUGUCGUUGGCUAUGAAAUACACCAAGAAUAUUUGGCUGGAGACAAACUGGAGAAAUCCCCCUGAAUCUAAACAUCUCAAAAUCCUAGUGUUGCACAGAGAUGAGGCUUUCUCUGCACAUAUGAAAUGUCUGAGGUAAAAUGCCUUAACUAAAGUCAAGAGUAAAUCAGGGCGGGGUUGUGCUCAGGAUGGUUUAGCUUUAACCCAGUCACUGUUCAAAAAAAUGUUCUGCUGAUUUGACAGAGUGUCGUCGGGGGCAUGGUGGGAGGCAUUCCAAAUCUCAUGAACUUUAUUGUCUUCAGGCUGCACUGCUUAAUUUGUAGUCAUCUUUUCUCGUUGUGAGAAAUCCCAAUAGAUGAGGGAGUGAAAGGUCUUUGAUGGAAGAUGUGCAUGGUAAGUGGAACUUCUAGAGAAAGUAGAGUGGGAAUGUAGUGGAAAAGAUGUGCUUUUUCUUUUAAAAGCAGGGUAGAGAGGUAACAGUUAACUUGGAGGCAAAAAGUAUAUUGAGGAAAAAAGUAAUAAGUGAUGUGGUUCCAGUGUUAGUGAAAUCUGAAUGGUAUUAAAUUCAGGCUCACUUUGAUCUAACACACCGGUGUGUUUGGAGCCGAGGCAGCUGGAGUUGCAUGAAAAAUCAGGACCUGAGAAAGACACGAAUCAGUUCUGGGGAUGUGUACAGCUACUGGUGUACUGCUGGAUGACUUGAGAAAGCACUCGCCUCACUUCAUUUUGGGUACCAUCAGUGGGAGAUAGGAAGUGCUCUCUGUAAUUCACAGCCUCUGCAGAAGAACUGGAUUUUGAACUGCUUCGGGAGCCCGUCAUGCCUUUGUGCUGUUCAACCAGCCUACUAAUGCAUGCACCAGGUGAGUCUAAAGUUAGGGCUUGUGACCACCUUUCCACUACCACUUCAGUUUUUGUACUUGGAUAAUGAUGCUGGACUCACUUAUGAAAAGAGCUGAGCUUCCCAAUUUAGAAUACUGCUAUAUAUGAACUCGAUGUAGUUAAUUUCUUUCUGUUGUUACCUGGAAAAAUUCUGUAACAGAUGGACAGAUACCCAGUAUCAUUUGGCAGAUAAUUCAUCUGACAUUUUCCCUCAUCAAUCAUUAAACAAUGGGUACAUUUCUUCAUUGUGCAGUCAGCU